CCUACGGGAGGCAGCAGUGGGGAAUAUUGGGCAAUGGAGGAAACUCUGACCCAGCAACGCCGCGUGAAUGAUGAAGGUCUUCGGAAUGUAAAGUUCUAUUCUAAGGGAAGAAGAAAGUGACGGUACCUUAGGAAUAAGCCUCGGCUAACUACGUGCCAGCAGCAGCGUUAAUACGUAGGAGGCGAGCGUUAUCCGGAAUGACUGGGCGUAAAGGGUGCGUAGGUGGUUUGGCAAGUUAGUAGCGAAACUCCGAGGCUCAACCUUGGAACUACUACUAAAACUGUUGGGCUUGAGUGCAGGAGAGGCAAGCGGAAUUCCUAGUGUAGCGGUGGAAUGCGUAGAUAUUAGGAGGAAGACCAGUGGCGAAGGCGGGUUGCUGGACUGUAACUGACACUGAGGCACGAAAGCGUGGGGAGCAAACAGGAUUAGAUACCCUUGUAGUC
rnacentral:rRNA from 1 species